rnacentral:rRNA from 1 species
UACGAAGGGUGCAAACGUUGCUCGGAAUUAUUGGGCGUAAAGCGCGCGUAGGCGGUUACUUAAGUCGGAUGUGAAAGCCCUCGGCUUAACUGAGGAAGUGCACCCGAAACUGAGUAGCUAGAGUACGAAAGAGGGUCGCGGAAUUCCCGGUGUAGAGGUGAAAUUCGUAGAUAUCGGGAGGAACACCGGUGGCGAAGGCGGCGACCUGGGUCGAGACUGACGCUGAGGCGCGAAAGCGUGGGGAGCAAACAGG